GAUGAACGCUGGCGGCGUGCCUAAUACAUGCAAGUCGAGCGAACAGACGAGGAGCUUGCUCCUCUGACGUUAGCGGCGGACGGGUGAGUAACACGUGGAUAACCUACCUAUAAGACUGGGAUAACUUCGGGAAACCGGAGCUAAUACCGGAUAAUAUAUUGAACCGCAUGGUUCAAUAGUGAAAGACGGUCUUGCUGUCACUUAUAGAUGGAUCCGCGCCGCAUUAGCUAGUUGGUAUGGUAACGGCUUACCAAGGCAACGAUGCGUAGCCGACCUGAGAGGGUGAUCGGCCACACUGGAACUGAGACACGGUCCAGACUCCUACGGGAGGCAGCAGUAGGGAAUCUUCCGCAAUGGGCGAAAGCCUGACGGAGCAACGCCGCGUGAGUGAUGAAGGUCUUCGGAUCGUAAAACUCUGUUAUUAGGGAAGAACAAAUGUGUAAGUAACUAUGCACGUCUUGACGGUACCUAAUCAGAAAGCCACGGCUAACUACGUG
rnacentral:rRNA from 1 species